UAGGUUUUCUUUUCCCUCCCGGAUACAAAUAAAAAAUCCAACCUUCGGUUUGGAGGUUUCUUUAACCUCCCCAUUUAUGAUGAAGGUUGAAAGUCGUGACGAAAGUUUCCGUUGGACCAAGCAUACGCAAAAAGAAAUUG
rnacentral:rRNA from 1 species